GGGGGGGGGAUCCCCUUUGUCGCACAAUUUGCCUUGUUUUGAAGGUGCGGCUCCACGAAUAUGUGGACGUGUUCGCUGCACUGGCCUUGCCGAAGCUUCCUUGGCCAAGAUCGCCUAAACAGAUGCGCAACGGGCGAGGCGG
rnacentral:SRP_RNA from 1 species